GGGAUGGGGCGGCGGAGCAGGAGGUGGGCUGAGGUGGCGCAGCGACCCCCAGCCAGGGGCGGGCUCAGCCCGUGCCCACGGCCCGGCUGCUCUACCUAUCCCUGUCGCCUCCUCCGGUUUUACUCGCGGCGGGGUCCUGAGUCGGCAGCACUGAGCCCGGAAGGAUGCUCAUCGCGGCAGGGGGAUCCGGAUGGCUCUGUGACCAUCAGCAGCAGAGCAGUGCGUCCUCAGGGAGCGGGAGGACUCGGUGCAGGUUGUACCGUUGGGACACCCCAAGGAAACACCAUCGGGACACCUCAAGGACCAUCAUGGGGAUACCCCAAGGGGACACCACCGGGAUGCUCCAAGGAGACACCAUCGGGACAUCCCAAGGGACCAUCACUGGGACGCUCCAAGGAGACACCAUUGGGACGCUCCAAGGGUCAACACCCACAGCCACAGGGGGGAUUCGGGUCCGGGGGGGCCCUCCUGCUCAUUCUCUGUUUUCUGCCUUAAUUAGAACCCGGAGAGACCGGGCGGAAUCGCAUUAGCGCGGGGCCCCGGUGCGCGGAGCCAUCCAUCUUUUUUUAUUACAGCGUAAUGGGGCUGCUCGCGAGGCGCCGUGCGAUUUGUCACAGGCCUCGUUCCCUGAUAACGGGCAUUUGUCAUCACUUUCUUCCCGUGUUAAUGUCAUCAUCGGCGGGCUGACAGGCGGACCCGCGGAGGGAGCGCUGGCGACAGACCACAUCCGUCAACCUAAUAUUUCCGUGGCUGUGGGGAUCGGCCGGGCUGCGCGCACGCAUUAAAGGGCUUAUGGGGGAGAGAGAGGGGGGAAAGGAAAGCUAAAAAAAAAAAAAAACUAAAAAGGAAAAAAAAAAAAAAAAAAGGAAAAAAAGAAGGGAAAAAAAAAAGGAAAAAAAAAGGGGGGGGGGGAGGAAGGAAAAAAAAAAAGAGGAAAAAAAAAAGAAGAAAAAAAAAGAGCCAUUGUAAUUAAUUAAAGUGUUGGCACGAGCACAGCACUGCAUGGGGACACGGCCGUGGCUUUCUGCUGGAGGACGCAGCAUCUUCUGGAUAGCACUGAGAGGAUAUUUGGGGCUGGGAAUCAGCAGAAAGGUCAUCGCUCUGCCCGGCCCGGCCCAGG
rnacentral:lncRNA from 1 species